AUACAUCGCUUUGGCAGUACAUGUACUAAAAUUGGAACCACACAGAGAUUAGCAUGGCCUCUGUGCAAGGACGACACGCAAAUUCAUGAAGCAAUUUACAGUUUU